rnacentral:siRNA from 1 species
CUCUUAAGGUAGCCAAAUGCCU